rnacentral:piRNA from 1 species
CUCUGAUGUUCUUGAAGCUGGGAAUCGU